rnacentral:rRNA from 1 species
UGGGGAAUAUUGCACAAUGGGCGAAAGCCUGAUGCAGCGACGCCGCGUGAGGGAUGACGGCCUUCGGGUUGUAAACCUCUUUCAGCAGGGACGAAGCGCAAGUGACGGUACCUGCAGAAGAAGCACCGGCUAACUACGUGCCAGCAGCCGCGGUAAUACGUAGGGUGCAAGCGUUGUCCGGAAUUACUGGGCGUAAAGAGUUCGUAGGCGGUUUGUCGCGUCGUUUGUGAAAACCAGCAGCUCAACUGCUGGCUUGCAGGCGAUACGGGCAGACUGGAGUACUGCAGGGGAGAGUGGAAUUCCUGGUGUAGCGGUGAAAUGCGCAGAUAUCAGGAGGAACACCGGUGGCGAAGGCGGGUCUCUGGGCAGUAACUGACGCUGAGGAACGAAAGCGUGGGUAGCGAACAGG